CCGCCCGGCGCCUCCAUCGCUGCCGCCGAGACCGAAAGCUGAAAACACUGGACCCAUCUGUGUUUCUGUUGGAGGUCACUUGCUGAUUUAUCUCCAAUUCACAGCUCAUUAGGAGGUUUGCAACUAUCCAGGGAUGUUAUUUAACAG